UUGGAGAUGGUGUUGUGAGUGCACUUGUUUUAUGAGUCCGUCUUAAGCCGGACAGUCACAGGCGUACUGCAAGCCUUGAGCCUUUCGACAAUGGAGGUUUUGGAAAUGAACAAGAAACUAUCUACGUUCUUAGAGACCGGCGUUUACAGAUUUGAAGACUGUAAUGCCGUAUUCAUUGACCCGGUUCAUGUUCUCAACCGCUCUUACUCCCGAUUUAGGGUUUCCCCUUCUGAGUACUACUCACGUUUUUUCGAAUCCAACCAUGCGACGCAAGAUGCUUCGACUUCAAGAAAGAGAAAGCGGAAGAAGAAGACGAAUCCUCACACUCUCAACGAAAGAGAACGGGUCGCCGAUCAGCGUCACCAGGAAGCAAAACCUCUUUUAUUAAAGGCAUGCCAGUCCUUGCUGAGAGCAACUGAUCUUUUGGAGGUCAUGAACAAUUUGAGAAAUGGUUCAGAUUCAUCUUCUUUGAAAAACAGAGACUUAUCGCCAUCAUCACCAUCAACUUCAGCUGUAGAGUCAUUUAUUGAACUCGGACGGGUCUGGCAAGCUCCUUUAUACGAAAUUACUCUAAAACUUCAUCCUUAUGAAACUGGAGGUUACUCUACCACUCAAUUCUCUGAACGAGUUAUCCCUGUAUUUAAUAACUUAAUUUCCAAUGACACCAGUGAAGAUGUGGAAGCUGAGUUUAUGAACACUCAAUAUAUUUUACCUCCAGAUAGUUGUUUCUACAUGUCUGAUCUGAGGCAGAUUCACAACCUAAUUCCUGCUGAGAAGGACUGUUGCUUCAAUCUUAUUGUGAUUGAUCCACCAUGGGAAAAUGGAAGUGCUUACCAGAAAUUGAGGUACCCAACUUUGCCGAAUAAGUAUUUCCUCUCCCUUCCUAUCAAGCAACUUAGCCACACAGAAGGAGCGCUUGUAGCGCUAUGGGUGACCAAUAGGGAGAAAUUACGUGGCUUUGUUGAGGAAGAACUAUUUCCAGCGUGGGGGGUCAAAUAUAUUUCUACCUUUUACUGGUUGAAAGUUAAAGCAGAUGGUUCGUUGAUAAGUGAUUUGGAUCUUUUUCAUCAUAGGCCAUAUGAAUGCAUUCUUUUGGGACGAUGUCAUGGGGAGUCCCUGGAUUCCAGUGCCACAAAAAUAGAUUCCAUACAAGAUAAUCAAAUUAUCAUUAGCAUCCCGGGUGAUUACUCGAGGAAGCCCCCCGUUGGAGGCAUUUAAAUUUGUAUUUUUGGGCUUAAAGUGAAUGAAGUAUCUAAGGGUGCUAAUUUUUUUUGGGAACAUUUGGAGGUGUUGAGUACACUUUUGGAGAGGCUGACAGGGCCUGGAGGUGAAAUUUGACGUUUUGUUGUAGGAAUUUAAAAAUUGUAUUUUGGGGUCUAAAGUGAUACUAUGAUGUCUAUAAGGAUCCCGAGAAAGUUUGGGAACAUUUGUAGAUAUUUUAGGUCACUUUUGAAGAAGAUGAUCAGACCUGGAGACGAUGUAUUGCGCACACAUGUGCGCAAAGGAGGCGAGCAGGUCUGCUACAGGAGUAUGUUGCUGGGAAUAGUCCGGUUCGCUGUCUGGAACUAUUUGCCAGAGAAUUGGUAUCUGGAUGGGUUUCUUGGGGAAACGAACCCCUUCAUUUCCAAGAAUCGCGAUACUUCAAUGAGAAAAAG